rnacentral:rRNA from 1 species
GACGAACGCUGGCGGCGUGCUUAACACAUGCAAGUCGAACGGUAAGGCCCUUCGGGGUACACGAGUGGCGAACGGGUGAGUAACACGUGGGUGAUCUGCCCUGCACUUCGGGAUAAGCCUGGGAAACUGGGUCUAAUACCGGAUAGGACUCCGGACUGCAUGGUCUGGGGUGGAAAGCUUUUGCGGUGUGGGAUGGGCCCGCGGCCUAUCAGCUUGUUGGUGGGGUGAUGGCCUACCAAGGCGACGACGGGUAGCCGGCCUGAGAGGGUGACCGGCCACACUGGGACUGAGAUACGGCCCAGACUCCUACGGGAGGCAGCAGUGGGGAAUAUUGCACAAUGGGCGCAAGCCUGAUCCAGCGACUCCGCGUGAGGGAUGACGGCCUUCGGGUUGUAAACCUCUUUCAGCAUCGACGAAGCGAAAGUGACGGUAGGUGCAGAAGAAGGACCGGCCAACUACGUGCCAGCCGCCGCAGUAA